GUGGGGAAUAUUGGGCAAUGGGCGCAAGCCUGACCCAGCAACGCCGCGUGAGGGAAGAAGGUUUUCGGAUUGUAAACCUCUGUCGCAGAAGACGAAGGAAGUGACGGUAAUCUGUGAGGAAGCCCCGGCUAACUACGUGCCAGCAGCCGCGGUAAUACGUAGGGGGCGAGCGUUGUCCGGAAUUACUGGGCGUAAAGGGAGCGUAGGCGGUUAAUUAAGUUAGAUGUGAAAUACCCGGGCUUAACUUGGGGGGUGCAUCUAAUACUGGUAAACUAGAGUACAGGAGAGGAAAGCGGAAUUCCUAGUGUAGCGGUGAAAUGCAUAGAUAUUAGGAGGAACAUCGGUGGCGAAGGCGGCUUUCUGGACUGACACUGACGCUGAGGCUCGAAAGCGUGGGGAGCAAACAGGAUUAGAAACCCCUGUAGUCC
rnacentral:rRNA from 1 species